CCAGACUCCUACGGGAGGCAGCAGUGAGGAAUAUUGGUCAAUGGGCGCGAGCCUGAACCAGCCAAGUCGCGUGAGGGAAGACGGUCCUAUGGAUUGUAAACCUCUUUUGUCGGGGAGCAAAAGACGCCACGCGUGGCGUUCCGAGAGUACCCGAAGAAAAAGCAUCGGCUAACUCCGUGCCAGCAGCCGCGGUAAUACGGAGGAUGCGAGCGUUAUCCGGAUUUAUUGGGUUUAAAGGGUGCGUAGGCGGAAGGCAAAGUAGGGGGAAAAGGCCGGGGCCCCACCCCCGGCGAGCCGUUGAAACUGGCUGUCUUGAGAUGUCGAGAGGUAUGCGGAAUGCGCAGUGUAGCGGUGAAAUGCUUAGAUAUAACUUAGAACUCCGAUAGCGAAGGCAGCUUACCAGACUGCGACUGACGCUGAAGCACGAGAGCGUGGGUAGCGAACAGGAUUAGAUACCCGCGUA
rnacentral:rRNA from 1 species